rnacentral:rRNA from 1 species
UACGUAGGGGGCAGGCGUUGUCCGGAAUUAUUGGGCGUAAAGAGCGCGUAGGCGGUCCGGUAAGUCGGUUGUGAAAGUCGGGGGCUCAACCCUCGGAUGCCGAUCGAUACUGUCGGGCUAGAGUCCGGAAGAGGCGAGUGGAAUUCCUGGUGUAGCGGUGAAAUGCGCAGAUAUCGGGAGGAACACCAAUGGCGAAGGCAGCUCGCUGGGACGUUACUGACGCUGAGACGCGAAAGCGUGGGGAGCAAACAGG